GAAGAUCAGUAAUAAACUUCUUCUAAUGGAGAAGCAGGCCAUCAGAAUGAUAAGUGACUUCAAUGCCAAGAAAGUAAUUGAGGACUCCCAAGUCCUUGAUCUUAAACUCAAGGUCCAGAAACCUUUUUAAAGCAGUAAUCUCCUCCAAAUCAUUGCCAGUCAGUAUAAAUAUCAUCAACAUACACAGCCAACAAAACAAUAAAAGAAGUAUAUUUCUUAAAGAAUAGGGAAUAAUCAUUGAAGGAAACCAGUUAGUAUAAUAUCAUCAACAUACACAGCCAGCAAUACAAUAGAAGAAGUAGAUUUCUUAAAGAAAAGGGAAUAAUCAUUGAAGGAAGAAGAAUAGCCUCUAGAACAGAGGGCUUGAGACAGCUUGGCAUACCACUUCCUAGAAGCUUGUCUCAGUCCAUAUAAGGAUUUCUAAAGAAGACAAACCAGAGGAGAAGAAGAGGAGGAACAGGUGACAGCCAGCCCAGGAGGUAGUUUCAUAUAAACCUCUUCAUCCAAAUCACCAUGUAAAAAGGCAUUAUUUACAUCAAGUUGAAAAAGAGAGUAAUUCUGCUUAACAGCAACAUCAACGAGGGACUUAAUAGUGGAAAACUUGACAACAGGAGAAAAGGUUUCUACAUCAAGUUGAAAAAGAGACUAGUUCUGCUUAAUAGCUACAGCAAUGAGGGACUUAAUAGUGGAAAACUUGACAACAGGAGAAAAGGUUUCAUUGAAAUCUACUCCCUCAACUUGUGUGUCACCCCUAAUAACCAAUCUAGCUUUAUAUCUUUUCACAGACCCAUCAGCCCUGUACUUGAUCUUAUAGACCCAUUUGCAUCCAAUAGGUCUUUUACUAGGGGAAAGCUGAACUAUAGACCAAGUGUGAUUAGCUUCUAAAGCUGCAAACUCCUUUGUCAUCAUGCAGGGAGACAGGCAGCCUACUGAUAGGAAGUAGGCUCUACCUGUGCACUGUAAACCAAACUAUGAAGACAAGUGGAAGAAGAACUGGAGCCAGAGAGAGAUGGAGGAAGAUUGCAGACAUACUGUUGUAGAUGAGCAGGAGAAAUGUGAGUCCUGCUGGACCUUCUAGGAGCAGGUGUAGUAGCUGCAGGAGGAGGAUGGUGCAAAGAAGGGGAGGUUGAAUAGGUAGAAAUAGGAGGUGCAGAUGUGGAAGAGGGUGAAGAAGAAGGACUGAGUAAGGAAUCAUCAGUAGGAGGAAAGUAAACAGGAUAUGGAUUAAGAGUAGGAGAAGAAACAGAAGAGGUAUUCCCUGAAGAGGCAAAGGGAAAGACAUCUUCAUGAAAAACCACAUCCCUAGAGACUAUUGUAAGUUUAGUCUUCAAGUUGUACAGCUUGUACCCAUUUUUACCCAAAGGAUAUCCCAGAAAAACACAAGGAUCAGCUCUACGCUGAAGUUUGUCCCUGUGCUGCUUGGGGACAGAAGCAAAACAAAGAUACCCAAAGGUUUUAAGAUGGUUGUAAGAAGGGGUUUUUCCAAAAAGCAACUCAAUAGGGGAUACAUUGUUAAGUAGUUUGGAAGGAAAUCUGUUUAUGAGAUAGGUUGCAGUAAGCACAAAAUCUCCCCGUAUGAUACGGAUUGAACAGAACGAAAUCGAAGAAAUGAAGAACCAAAAAGAGAGAGAAAGAGGAACUGAAUGUAUUGCUAUAAUCUGUUAUGUCGUUCUGUACAAGAAG
rnacentral:lncRNA from 1 species